AUCGCGUCGUUUGUCUUUCUUGUAACCAGUUCUGGUGAUUGUUGGUGGAGAUUGUGUGAAUGAGGAUUUCGAACGCAGAGAGCCGAACCUCUGCCUGUGGUUUGCCUGUCGGUUUGUGCGUGGAGAAGGCCUCAAGUGCUCUAUCGAGUGGAAACCUUUGGCACAUCUUCCUGAACCGCCACGUUUUCGCCACUGCGUAUGCGUCCUCAACAACACACUCUACAUCCUUGGGGGACGCAAAUACUACGGUGCCCUGGACAUCCUGAAGAGCGCUCUGAGAUUUGAUCCAGCCCAGGGCCGAUGGGAACGUCUUCCCGACAUGUCCAGACCCAGGGAUUAUUUUGCGGCUGUGUGUCACAGAGGGAAGGUGUUUGUCCUGGGGGGAAACUGUGAUGACGUGAACUGUCUGGACACAGUGGAGUGUUACACACCUGAGGAGAACACAUGGAGGUCCGCAAACAUGUCUACUCAUAUUUAUGAUCACAGAAUGAACAGUUAUGAAUAAGUUACUGGCAUUCUAUUGGAAAUAAAAGAAGCAGAUUGGGUGUCAUGUAUCAAAGCAAUUUGGUUAAUCAGUUUUUUUUUAAUUAACAAAAUACAAAUGCUCGUGCCUGUA
ensembl:processed_transcript